rnacentral:rRNA from 1 species
UACGAAGGGGGCUAGCGUUGCUCGGAAUGACUGGGCGUAAAGGGCGCGUAGGCGGUUUGCACAGUCGGGCGUGAAAUUCCUGGGCUCAACCUGGGGGCUGCGUUCGAUACGUGCCGACUGGAGUGGGGAAGAGGGUCGUGGAAUUCCCAGUGUAGAGGUGAAAUUCGUAGAUAUUGGGAAGAACACCGGUGGCGAAGGCGGCGACCUGGUCCUUGACUGACGCUGAGGCGCGAAAGCGUGGGGAGCAAACAGG